CGUAGGGUGCGAGCGUUAAUCGGAAUUACUGGGCGUAAAGCGUGCGCAGGCGGUUUUGUAAGACAGGCGUGAAAUCCCCGGGCUCAACCUGGGAACUGCGCUUGUGACUGCAAGGCUAGAGUACGGCAGAGGGGGUGGAAGUUCCACGUGUAGCAGUGAAAUAGCGUAGAGAUGUGGAGGAACACCAAUGGCGAAGGCGAGCCCCCUCGGGUCGGAUACUGACGCUCAUGCACGAAAGACGUGGGUAGCAAACAGGAUUAGAUACCCUGGUAGUCCACGCCCUAAACGAUGUCAACUAGGUGUUGGGUGGGUAAAACCAUUUAGUACCGGAGCUAACGCGUGAAGUUGACCGCCUGGGGAGUACGGCCGCAAGGUUA
rnacentral:rRNA from 1 species